AACGAACGCUGGCGGCAUGCCUAACACAUGCAAGUCGAACGAGACCUUCGGGUCUAGUGGCGCACGGGUGCGUAACGCGUGGGAAUCUGCCUUUGGGUUCGGGAUCUCAGUUGGAAACGACUGCUAAUACCGGAUGACGUCUUCGGACCAAAGAUUUAUCGCCCAGGGAUGAGCCCGCGUCGGAUUAGCUAGUUGGUAGGGUAAAAGCCUACCAAGGCGACGAUCCGUAGCUGGUCUGAGAGGAUGAUCAGCCACACUGGGACUGAGACACGGCCCAGACUCCGACGGGAGGCAGCAGUGGGUAAUAUUGGACAAUGGGCGAAAGCCUGAUCCAGCAAUGCCGCGUGAGUGAUGAAGGCCUUAGGGUUGUAAAGCUCUUGUACCCGGGAUGAUAAUGACAGUACCGGGAGAAUAAGCCCCGGCUAACUCCGUGCCAGCAGCCGCCGUAA
rnacentral:rRNA from 1 species